GCAUCGGUGGUUCGGUGGUAGAAUGCUCGCCUGCCACGCGGCGAAUUCGGCUCCGAUUCCCGGCCGAUGCA